rnacentral:rRNA from 1 species
UAGCUAGUUGGUGAGGUAAAGGCUUACCAAGGCGACGAUCUGUAGCGGGUCUGAGAGGAUGAUCCGCCACACUGGAACUGAGACACGGUCCAGACUCCUACGGGAGGCAGCAGUGGGGAAUUUUGGACAAUGGGGGCAACCCUGAUCCAGCCAUUCCGCGUGAGUGAAGAAGGCCUUCGGGUUGUAAAGCUCUUUCGGCCGGGAAGAAAUCGCAUGGGCCAAUACCCUGUGUGGAUGACGGUACCGGAAUAAGAAGCACCGGCUAACUACGUGCCAGCAGCCGCGGUAAUACGUAGGGUGCGAGCGUUAAUCGGAAUUACUGGGCGUAAAGCGUGCGCAGGCGGUUUUGUAAGACAGGCGUGAAAUCCCCGGGCUUAACCUGGGAACUGCGUUUGUGACUGCAAGGCUAGAGUACGGCAGAGGGGGGUGGAAUUCCACGUGUAGCAGUGAAAUGCGUAGAGAUGUGGAGGAACACCAAUGCGAAGGCAGCCCCCUGGGUCGAUACUGACGCUCAUGCACGAAAGCGUGGGUAGCAAACAGGAUUAGAUACCCUGGUAGUCCACGCCCUAAACUAUGUCAACUAGGUGUUGGGUGGGUAAAACCAUUUAGUACCGUAGCUAACGCGUGAAGUUGACCGCCUGGGGAGUACGGCCGCAAGGUUAAAACUCAAAGGAAUUGACGGGGACCCGCACAAGCGGUGGAUGAUGUGGAUUAAUUCGAUGCAACGCGAAAAACCUUACCUACCCUUGACAUGCCAGGAACUUGCCAGAGAUGGCUUGGUGCCCGAAAGGGAGCCUGGACACAGGUGCUGCAUGGCUGUCGUCAGCUCGUGUCGUGAGAUGUUGGGUUAAGUCCCGCAACGAGCGCAACCCUUGUCGUUAAUUGCCAUCAUUUGGUUGGGCACUUUAACGAGACUGCCGGUGACAAACCGGAGGAAGGUGGGGAUGACGUCAAGUCCUCAUGGCCCUUAUGGGUAGGGCUUCACACGUCAUACAAUGGUCGGUACAAAGGGUUGCCAAGCCGCGAGGCGGAGCCAAUCCCAGAAAGCCGAUCGUAGUCCGGAUUGCAGGCUGCAACUCGCCUGCAUGAAGUCGGAAUCGCUAGUAAUCGUGGAUCAGCAUGUCACGGUGAAUACGUUCCCGGGUCUUGUACACACCGCCCGUCACACCAUGGGAGCGGGUUCCGCCAGAAGUAGGUAGCCUAACCGCAAGGGGGGCGCUUACCACGGCGGGGUUCGUGACUGGGGUGAAGUCGUAACAAGGUAGCCGUAGGGGAACCUGCGGCUG